rnacentral:tRNA from 1 species
UACAAACUGGCAGAAAAUUAUGCAUAUGAUUUAGGGUCAUACUAUAAGUUUAUACUUGUUUGUAA